CGGGAAUUUUGGGCAAUGGGCGAAAGCCUGACCCAGCAACGCCGCGUGAGGGAUGAAGUAUUUCGGUAUGUAAACCUCGAAAGAAUGGGAAGAAUAAAUGACGGUACCAUUUAUAAGCUCCGGCUAACUACGUGCCAGCAGCCGCGGUAAUACGUAGGGAGCAAGCGUUAAUCGGAAUUACUGGGCGUAAAGCGUGCGCAGGCGGCUUUGUAAGACAGAUGUGAAAUCCCCGGGCUCAACCUGGGAACUGCAUUUGUGACUGCAAGUCUAGAGUGCGUCAGAGGGCGGUGGAAUUCCGCGUGUGGCAGUGAAAUGCGUAGAGAUGCGGAGGAACACCGAUGGCGAAGGCAGCCUCCUGGGAUGACACUGACGCUCAUGCACGAAAGCGUGGGGAGCAAACA
rnacentral:rRNA from 1 species